ACCCCCUCAAGCACUGCUUGGUGUUGGGCGUCUGUCCGCGAGGACUCGCCCCAAAAGCAUUGGCAGCGGUUCUGUCAGCCCCUCGCGCAGCAGUUUGCGCUCGAUGGGUCGCUCGACGACCGGCGUCCACGAAGCUCCAUCCU
rnacentral:misc_RNA from 1 species